UACGGAGGGUGCAAGCGUUAUUCGGAAUUAUUGGGCGUAAAGGGUGAGUAGGCUGUAUGUUAAGUCUUAUGUGAAAUUUUGUAGCUUAACUAUAAAAGAGCAUAAGAAACUGGCAAACUAGAAUCACUGAGAGGGUGAUGGAAUUCCAAGUGUAGGAGUGAAAUCCGUAGAGAUUUGGAAGAACACCAGAGGCGCAAGCGGUCACCUGGCAGUAGAUUGACGCUGAAUCACGAAAGCGUGGGGAU
rnacentral:rRNA from 1 species